rnacentral:lncRNA from 1 species
GAACCUGAGUUGGAACGUGAGCAGGAACCACAAGAUAUUAUGGAAAGUGAACCUGCUCAAAUUACACAAGUCAUUCGUAGAUCUGGUAGGACACGCCAAGAGCCUGAGAGAUAUUAUGGAUAUCUUGUGACUCAAAACGGCGAUGUGAUGCUCAUAGAUCAAGAUGAGCCUGCUUACUACCAAGAAGCUAUGAAUGGACCAGAUUCUGAGAAAUGGCUUGAAGCCAUGAAAUCUGAG